GCCUGAACUCGAGUAGGGCCCAAGCCAGCCAGGAAGGAGGAGGCAGCCAGAGUGUUCUCUGCAGCAGAAGACCCCUUGCUGCACUGCUUAACCCAGACCAGCAUUUGCCAGGCCCCCUGUCCUGGGAGCCCUGGUGUUGGGCUCUCAGGGCAGAGUGGGGAUUGUGUUGGUGUACCGCCCACCUUGCUGUCAGUUGUCUGCCUGCCUGAGCGAUGAAGCAAGCUGGGAGAUGGCUGGAAUGCAAGUGGAGGAAAACACGGGACGCAGGUGAGGUGGUGAGUGCCUGGAUGCAGUAAUGGACUGGAUGAGGGUGAACACACUGAGACAAGAUCCAGACAAGACAGAAGUACUGCUGGUCGGUGUUUCCUUAUCCAGAGGAUACACACCUGUUCCAGUAUUUCCCAGAAGGAAACUGAUAUUCUGGAAGAAAGGGCAGGAGGAAGAUGAGAAGAAGGGCAAUCAAGUCAGAUAGCAGCUGAGGAUCAUUCCAGCCUCUCUUCUCUACCAGCAAUCUUCAGCUACUAAUGUCAGAAUUCCUUCUUUUCAUGUUCGCAACAUGGAUCAGACAUCACUGCUGACUUGAGAUAAACAACUAGCCAAGUGUACCCGAUGGCACUGGAUGCUCGCAAAGCAUGUUCUUUAACAGAUGCAUUUCUAUCAGCAUGGAAGAAGGGAGGUUCCAUGGGAGUGUGUACUGCUUGCACUUGGUGCCAGUCAUUGUGAGAAGACACCGCACCACACUGUGGAUCUGAUCAUGAGUGGGCUGAGUGUCUGCAGAUGCCACUACAUUCAACUGAAGCUGAGCCCAUUUUAAAUCCUCGUAAUGGUAUUGCAGGCAAGUUCUUUUACCCACUUCAGGUAUAAAACGCCACCUCGGAUACCACAAGAAUCCAAAUGAAAAACUCUGCCUGGGAAAGGAGGCACAGCAUGAGACCGUAAAAUUCAGUCAACUGUAAAAUAGGGAAUAAGUCUCCCCUUUUCAGCUACACAAAACUCCUCCUAAAAAAAGAUGAGAGAAUCAGCAACAGCCUUCUUCACAAAUACAGUUGAGUUGAUAGAAAAAAUAUGAACACAGAGAUAUUAAAUAAAGCAUCUCAUAAAAUCAAGCAUGAACUAUCAACAAGAGGCAAUUAGUUUUGGUUUUAUGCAAGAUCACAAAUUCAGUGUUUACAGUGGGUGAAUACAGGCAACCACUUUUCAAGUGGUAAUUUACCACUGCGUGCAUGUAACCACUCUGAUCAGGUGUUCAAGUGUGCCAAGAUUUCUCUCCCAACCUGGCAGAGAAUACAAAUGAAUAGUUUACUAAGUUACACAUAUGAGGCUAAGUUACUGCUUGGUAAAUGGUCAUCUGUAUGGAUGCAGUCAAUGCCCUGGCACAUUGGCACCUCAAAAUGCUUUUAGUCUUAUUAAAGAGCUUCUGCUGCUUACUCAAAAUCUGUCUCUUUUUUCCCUUGUAUUCAAUCUUUAAAUAAUCUCACUGGGAACUUCUGACCUGCUGUGCUUAGGUCAUAUUCUGGGAUGGUGGCUCAUACUUUAUCUAGGAUGUUUGUAAGGGAUUGGGCACCAAAUAAUAUAUUACUCAGUGAGCUAAGCAAUCUGUGGGUCAUCACGGAUGUAUCAAGCC